rnacentral:rRNA from 1 species
UACAGAGGGGGCAAGCGUUGUUCGGAAUUACUGGGCGUAAAGGGCGCGUAGGUGGCCUUCUAAGUUGAACGUGAAAUCCCUGGGCUCAACCCAGGAACUGCGUCCAAGACUGGGAGGCUUGAAUCCGGGAGAGGGAUGCGGAAUUCCAGGUGUAGCGGUGAAAUGCGUAGAUAUCUGGAGGAACACCGGUGGCGAAGGCAGUGUUCUGGGCCAGUACUGACGCUGAGGAGCGAAAGCGUGGGGAGCAAACAGG